GACGAACGCUGGCGGCGUGCUUAACACAUGCAAGUCGAACGGUAAGGCCUUUCGGGGUCAUGCGAGUGGCGAACGGGUGAGUAACACGUGAGCAACCUGCCCUUGACUUCGGAAUACCAGCUGGAAACAGCUGCUAAUACCGGAUAUGACCCUGGUCCUCCUGGACUGGGGUGGAAAGCUCCGGCGGUCAGGGAUGGGCUCGCGGCCUAUCAGCUUGUUUGUGGGGUAAUGGCUCACCAAGGCUUCGACGGGUAGCCGGCCUGAGAGGGGGACCGGGCACACUGGGACUUGGGUACGGCCCAGACUUCCACGGGGGGCAGCAGUGGGGAAUAUUGGACAAUGGGCGGAAGCCUGAUGCAGCAACGCCGCGUGCGGGAUGACGGCCUUCGGGUUGUAAACCGCUUUCAGUAGGGACGAAGCCACAAGUGACGGUACCUACAGAAGAAGGACCGGCUAACUACGUG
rnacentral:rRNA from 1 species